GACGUAGGGGGCCAGCGUUGUUCGGAAUCACUGGGCGUAAAGCGCACGUAGGCGGCUUGUUAAGUCAGGGGCGAAAUCCUGGAGCUCAACUCCAGAACUGCCUUUGAUACUGGCGAUCUCGAGUCCGGGAGAGGUGAGUGGAACUGCGAGUGUAGAGGUGAAAUUCGUAGAUAUUCGCAAGAACACCAGUGGCGAAGGCGGCUCACUGGCCCGGUACUGACGCUGAGGUGCGAAAGCGUGGGGAGCAAACAGG
rnacentral:rRNA from 1 species